UAGUUGGUAAGGUAACGGCUUACCAAGGCGAUGAUGGAUAACUGGCGUGAGAGCGCGACCAGUCACACGGGCACUGAGACACGGCCCAGACUCCUACGGGAGGCAGCAGUGGGGAAUAUUGGACAAUGGGCGCAAGCCUGAUCCAGCCAUGCCGCGUGUGUGAAGAAGGCUUUCGGGUUGUAAAGCACUUUCAGGAGUGAAGAAUGGCGUUGGGUGAAUAAUCUGACGUUUUGACGUUAGCUCCAGAAGAAGCACCGGCUAACUCCGUGCCAGCAGCCGCGGUAAUACGGAGGGUGCGAACGUUAAUCGGAAUUACUGGGCGUAAAGCGUGCGUAGGCGGCCAUUUAAGUCGGAUGUGAAAGCCCCGGGCUCAACCUGGGAACUGCAUUCGAUACUGGGUGGCUAGAGUUUGGUAGAGGUAAGUGGAAUUCCAGGUGUAGCGGUGAAAUGCGUAGAUAUCUGGAGGAACACCAGUGGGGAAGGCGGCUUACUGGACCAAAACUGACGCUGAGGUACGAAAGCGUGGGUAGCAAACAGGAUUAGAUACCCUGGUAGUCCACGCCCUAAACGAUGGGAACUAGUUGUUGGGAGCCUUAAUCGCUCUUGGUAACGAAGCUAACGCGUUAAGUUCUCCGCCUGGGGGAGUACGGCCGCAAGGUUGAAACUCAAAUGAAUUGACGGGGGCCCGCACAAGCCGGUGGAGCAUGUGGUUUAAUUCGAUGCAACGCGAAGAACC
rnacentral:rRNA from 1 species